rnacentral:rRNA from 1 species
UACGUAGGGGGCAAGCGUUGUCCGGAUUUAUUGGGCGUAAAGAGCGUGUAGGCGGCCAGGUAGGUCCGUUGUGAAAACUCGAGGCUCAACCUCGAGACGUCGGCGGAAACCCUCUGGCUAGAGUCCGGAAGAGGAGAAUGGAAUUCCUGGUGUAGCGGUGAAAUGCGCAGAUAUCAGGAAGAACACCAACGGCGAAGGCAGCUCGCUGGGACGGUACUGACGCUGAGACGCGAAAGCGUGGGGAGCGAACAGG